CGCACUUUUUAUAGUGCUGGCAGACGCAAGUCCGACGUGAUUUUCAUCACUGCCCGUUCUGGGCUUUGGGAUUGC
rfam:Methanospirillum hungatei JF-1, complete genome.